CCUAUGGGCGGCUGCAGUGGGGAAUUUUGGACAAUGGGCGCAAGCCUGAUCCAGCCAUGCCGCGUGCGGGAAGAAGGCCUUCGGGUUGUAAACCGCUUUUGUCAGGGAAGAAAUUGCUCGGGCUAAUACCCUGGGCCGAUGACGGUACCUGAAGAAUAAGCACCGGCUAACUACGUGCCAGCAGCCGCGGUAAUACGUAGGGUGCGAGCGUUAAUCGGAAGUACUGGGGCGAUAGCGCACGCAGGCGGUGAAAUCCCCGGGCUCAACCUGGGAACUGCAUUUGUGACUGCACGGCUUGAGUACGGUAGAGGAGGAUGGAAUUCCGCGUGUAGCAGUGAAAUGCGUAGAUAUGCGGAGGAACACCGAUGGCGAAGGCAGUCCCCUGGGCCUGUACUGACGCUCAUGCACGAAAGCGUGGGGAGCAAACAGGAUUAGAUACCCCGGUAGUC
rnacentral:rRNA from 1 species